CGAGAGCCUUGGAGGAGCCCUGGUGGAGAAGCAGGAACAGCACUGCUGUGGAGAGCUGUGUGUGAGGAAACGACCCAGAAGACCAAAGAAACUUCAUUCCAUUUGCUGUCCCAGGCAUCUGCUCUGUGCUGUCCCAUGCAUUUGCAGAAGUGAGAGCUCUAAGAAAUGUCAAACCUUACAGGGAGAAGUAUUUAUAGGGGAAUUCUGAAGUGGAAGCUCUUCAAGCAUUGAAAUGCAAAACACAUUUCUAGGGUUUGGCCAAGAAAGAAGUCACAAGAUUGAGGAGCUGCGACAAAUGGUUCAGUAUUGCUCUGGCUUUAACUUUUUAAUUGGGAAAAAAAUAGAAGUACUGUUCCGAGUGUGUUAACAGAAGUUGGCUGAGCCGGUUCAGUUGUUGUCUGAGGCAAUAAAACAGUGCUGAACCAACAGAGGAUGAAGUUCAAUGUUUCCCACCCAGCCCCACGUCACAGAACCUGCCUGGCUGCUUCCCCUGCACAGCUCCUUGAAACCACCACAGCUUUGGGAAAAUAUAUUAAAUGGGCCUUUACAAACUGGAUGGGGAGAGGAGGGGGUGAUGCUGUUAAUUGAUACCAGGAUGGGGUUUUUUUUAAAUUAAAAAUUAAUAUUUUUUUAAUUAAAAAUUCUUACAGGAGAAAGUUUUGCUCAAAACCCAAACAAAUUGUGGGCUGUGAUUCAGAGACAAGGCUGCUCCUGCAGUGCCUGUGUACUACAGCUAACCUGUUACUUCUGGAUGUUGCAUGAAUGAAUCUGAAUUUGUAUCUGAGAGAUUGGUUGUGGGUUUUUCCUAUUUCUUUUAUUCAAUUUUAUGUAUUAAACUGACUUCUGCCUCUGUAACUUAUAUUUAGGUUUUAAAACCAUCCUUUAGAGCUAAAACAUACUUGUGUUCAGAGUUAUUCAGUGAAACAGGUCUUGUUGCUAGUUAUUACCCAGUGUAACCAGCUGUUCUCAUGGACUGGCUAAUUUCUUCAAAGUGGUGCUUUUUGUCAGAGCCACAGCUCCUGGAGUCAUGUCAUUGUGUAAGGAUAUCAGCUUUCAUUAAAAAAACAGUCUCACUGGAGAUCAAGAGAAAAGAUUAAAUAUGGCCUAAAUAUCCUAGAAAGCAUUUAUUUUGAAAGUAAAAUAAAAUACCCACUGUAGGUUUUAAAGAAGAUGUAAAAUAAAGGGAUUGCUAUGUGGUAUUUGAAGUUUUGCAGUAAUUAAUUCAUGCUUGUACUUCACCUAGCAUCUGUUUUUCCAAGUUCUCAAAUAUCUUAAAGUCGUUGCAAGUAACUUCACACGCAAAACCGACUAGAAGUGUUUAAACAGGAACAUCCCAUUUCUGUCAUUAUUGCAGCUUCCUUGGCUUUCAGUACUGCUUGUUUUAACAUCCUUCCAUUGGCUCUGCUUGCACUAUGGAUUAUUCCCUCCCAUCCACAUUUCUUUUGCAGCUCAGCCAUCCUCAAGUGACAAAUGCGGGUUUUUAACCAAACUUAAUUUGGGAUUUUAGAUUAAACUUUUUAAAUAGGAUAAUUAUUUCCACUGUCCCUAUGGUACAUCAUGUCUUUACUUUGAGCUUUCUUUGUGCCUUAAAAUGUCUGUCAGAUAUACAGUGCAGUUGUU